rnacentral:rRNA from 1 species
GACGAACGCUGGCGGCGUGCCUAAUACAUGCAAGUCGAGCGGAUGGAAGGAAGCUUGCUUCCUAAAGUCAGCGGCGGACGGGUGAGUAACACGUGGGCAACCUGCCCCUAAGAUCGGGAUAACUUCGGGAAACCGGAGCUAAUACCGGAUAUGAUUAUGUCUCACAUGAGACAUAAUGGAAAGACGGUUUCGGCUGUCACUUAGGGAUGGGCCCGGGGCGCAUUAGCUAGUUGGUGAGGUAACGGCUCACCAAGGCGACGAUGCGUAGCCGACUUGAGAGGGUGAUCGGCCACACUGGGACUGAGACACGGCCCAGACUCCUACGGGAGGCAGCAGUAGGGAAUCUUCCGCAAUGGACGAAAGUCUGACGGAGCAACGCCGCGUGAGUGAAGAAGGUUUUCGGAUCGUAAAACUCUGUUGUUAGGGAAGAACAAGUACCAUAGUAACUGAUGGUACCUUGACGGUACCUAACCAGAAAGCCACGGCUAACUACGUGCCAGCAGCCGCAGUAAAAC